rnacentral:rRNA from 1 species
AGGGUGUAAACGCUGCAGACUUGGUGUUGGGAACCCUUCGGGGGUGCUCAGUGCCGGAGAGAAGUUGUUAAGUCUGCUACUUGGGGAGUACGUCCGCAAGGAUGAAACUUAAAGGAAUUGGCGGGGGAGCACCGCAACGGGAGGAGCGUGCGGUUUAAUUGGAUUCAACACCGUAAAACUCACCAGGGAAGACUGUUACAUGAAAGCCGAGAUGAAGACUCUGCUAGAUUUUUCAGAGAGGUGGUGCAUGGCGUC